rnacentral:snoRNA from 1 species
AACCCAUGGUGAGGGCACCUUAUCAAAAGGUCCUUGCAUCUCUCCCAUGCAUCGUGGAGUGUUUCUAAAUACAUCUCACAAAAGAAUAGAUAUCAUUAUGUAAUU